CAUAUUCUGAGACUUUGGCGGUUUGUUAAGUACUGUGUGCUGAUUUUUAGCUAUUCCGUGCCUGGCUUAACUUGUAUACUUGUAUACAUCAUGUAUGCUCACUGUAUAGAUUACGUAUGAAGUCAAGCAGAAAAUGUAUCAAUGUCUUCCUUUAAACUUGAGCCUUCUUACUUUUUUAUUGCAGUUUGUCAAAACAUGCACUAUCACCA